GGCAGAUCGGCUGGGGGAGUGACCGGGACCUGCUCCAGGCUCUGCGCACCGGGGGAGCACAUCCUGGCCUCAGGCGGGCCUCGGUGGGAAGGCGGCGGCCCCUUCCGGGGUCGGAAGAGGGGCUAGGAGUGGCAGAGGGACUGGGUCAGGGGUCCAGAGAGAGGCCGGGGCAGUAAAAGGGCGCACACACCACCUGUGCCCCGACGGCUUGCUUCCUCCCUCUGGGACCCGGAGAAACCCCAGUCCGUGAGCGUCGGGUCAGCGCCAGGUCGGGAUUUCAAGGCUAGAAUUGAAAUGAAUACUGGAAGAAACAGACACAGAGUGGGCAAGAAACUGCAGACAGGCCACCGGGCAGCCGCCCCUGGGACCCGGCGGACAGAGGGGCACAACCGCCCCGCACUCAAGGGCAUAGCUGGAGCCCCCACCCCGCCACCGCCCACUCCGGAGUCGGGAUCGGAGCCUGGAGGCCUCUAGAACACACACACCCUCCGUGUCUCUGUGGGGCAUCGCGGGACCCUCUCCAAUGCUGCUCUCUGAUUCUUCCUCUCCAAGCCUGUCUGCACCUCUGUCGGAAUCUCUCCUAUUCUGAAGCUCUGGGAAACUCCACCUACCCAGGUCUGCUCCUCUAGCCCAUGCUCUACCUGUUGUGGAGGGAAAGGGGGCCACAUAGUAAACCUGACAAGCUCAGGAGAUGGGAAAUAACCACAUAAGAUGGCGUGAGCAUAAAAAGUUUAAUAACUAAGUGGGCCAUGGUGGGAAGUCAUAUCGUUAGCUAAAAGCUUCCUUCGUCAAGUCAAUCUUCACCUUACUUAAGCCUGUCUAUUGCCUUUUUGCACCUAAGAUGACAUCCUUGGAAUGUCAGUAGUCCCUUUCUCCGGAGCAGAGCAGGAAAGUGCAGAAUCCCUCGUUAUUAUUCUUGUCCCUUGAUUAACACCUAUAUGCGAACUAUUAACUAGCCUAUACCCACCCACCUAUGUAAAAACAAAACCUGUCUCUCCAAUUUACUUUUAUCCAAUCCCAGAGAGUUCCCGGCUUUGCUUUCUCCCACCCCCUUAAUCUAUCACCAGUGGAUUUCAUGCAACCCUCCUCCUUUGAUUC